CCUACGGGAGGCAGCAGUGGGGGAUAUUGCACAAUGGGGGGAACCCUGAUGCAGCGACGCCGCGUGGGUGAAGAAGCGCCUCGGCGCGUAAAGCCCUGUCAGCAGGGAAGAAAAUGACGGUACCUGAAGAAGAAGCCCCGGCUAACUACGUGCCAGCAGCCGCGGUAAUACGUAGGGGGCAAGCGUUAUCCGGAUUUAUUGGGUUUAAAGGGUGCGCAGGCGGAUUUUUAAGUCAGCGGUCAAAUCGUGGGGCUCAACCCCAUCCAGCCGUUGAAACUGGGGAUCUAGAGUGUGCGAGAGGUAUG
rnacentral:rRNA from 1 species